rnacentral:lncRNA from 1 species
UAGCGAUCAGAUUUAUUUCCUGUGCAUCUUUUACUGCAGUAUCUGAGAUGUUCUGAGGUGAACAUCCAAACAGUGAUCAAAACCCCAAGAAACAAUAGGAAGAAAUACACUGUUUCUUUCCCAGAGUUUCUUUUUGUGGAGCUUUUGGGUUAUUCAUGAUUUAUGGUGUAGUUCUGUGCUCAGAAAAUGAUUCCUGCCUCUUGUGAUUCUUCACAGCCGGUGUCUGUACUUUGGCUGCUGGAUUUUAUUUAUUUCAACCUGUAAUCUUUAAAACGAGCUCAGGUUCUUUCCUUUCAGCCAUAAAGAUUAUGCAGACCAAGUCAGAAAUACAAGUAUCAAAUUUAAGAUAGAAGGGAAAAAAACGCAUCACUUCAAAAUUCUGCUUAUUUUUUCCUCUUGGAGGUUGCUAGUUAGCUUCCCUUCCUGCAGGACUCAGAGCACCCUGUAACGUCCUGCAAAUAUCAGGAAAAUAAAAGGAGAGGAACAAAGUGAGAACAUGUAAAGCCAGCCCGGUUCACCAGCAAACCACUGUGCAGCUGGGCUUCACUCACACAGGAGUUGAUCAGAGGCAGGGAUGUUCUAUUCCCGCUCCUCUUUGCCAGUGUUGCAUCACAAAGGAGGGGCCGGUCAUGCCAGCUGACUUGCUUAGGUCAGGAAGUCAGAUUUGCCCAGGCAGUAGGGCUUUCUAAGUGUGGCUCGCUUUCACUGGAAUUACUGAGGGGAUGAUUACAGCAGCAGCUCAGCAGCAGUUCUGCGUGUGACCCUCGAAGGAAGGAAGCUGCCAGCACAACAUGCGUGUGCACCCAGAUAUUUCAAAAUCAGCUAAAGAGUCAUAUGCAAAUACGAGAUGGCCUGCAAUGUGGGUUGCUUUACAGCUUCCUUCCAUAAUGUUUGGAAAGUGGAAAUUUAUGUGUAAAGUGGGGAAAAGCAAUCAAAACCUCUACAGAAUCUGGUGCCAGAAUUAAUGAAACACUGAAAUAAAGGAGAGGGGAGGAGAAAAGAGAGAAAAUAA